rnacentral:rRNA from 1 species
AUUGAACGCUGGCGGCAUGCCUUACACAUGCAAGUCGAACGGCAGCAUGGGUGCUUGCACCUGAUGGCGAGUGGCGAACGGGUGAGUAAUGCAUCGGAACGUACCCGGAAGUGGGGGAUAACGUAGCGAAAGUUACGCUAAUACCGCAUAUUCUGUGAGCAGGAAAGCGGGGGAUCGCAAGACCUCGCGCUUCCGGAGCGGCCGAUGUCGGAUUAGCUAGUUGGCGGGGUAAAGGCCCACCAAGGCAACGAUCCGUAGCGGGUCUGAGAGGAUGAUCCGCCACACUGGGACUGAGACACGGCCCAGACUCCUACGGGAGGCAGCAGUGGGGAAUUUUGGACAAUGGGCGCAAGCCUGAUCCAGCCAUGCCGCGUGAGUGAAGAAGGCCUUCGGUUGUAAAGCUCUGUCUGGAGGGACGAAGGAAGUGACGGUACUCCGGAGGAAGCCACGGCUAACUACGUAGCCAGCAGCCGCGGUAAAAUAGACGU